UAAAAAGAAAUAAAAAUCAAUAAGUUAAAUAUUCAAAAUUGAUAUACCUUUGUAUUAUAAAAGCAAUUAAUUAUUGAUAUUCAGUUUUCAAACAAAAACAAUUUCAAUGAAAAUUUUUCAGAAACAUGAAAAGCUCACGCCAUCUAUUGAAUACAGACGCUUACAUAAUCAGUCACUAAAUUUAUUGACAGAAGAGGGAGUUAGUUGUUACACCAACUAAAUUUUUCAUUACAAUUGUACAAUUUUUUAGUUUUAAUUUAAUUUGGUUAAAUUUAAAACUGUUUUCUCUGUCAUUUGGAGACUCAUCCGUAUUUGACUCGCUAAGCUUUUAAAUGGUGAAGUAAUCUGAAGUAAAUCCUGCAGGACAAUCAAGGAGGUAAUCUAUUCGAUCUAGAAUGAAAAAUAAUUAGACAAUUGUUCUGGAUUUGAGCUGCAAAUUCUGGAUGUCGAAUCAAGCUCAAUUCAUAUAAAAACGAUUGGAUCUACAAAAAAGAGAUUGGAUUUUAGGUUAUUUGUCAGUAAUGUCAACUUUUUGAAACUUGUCAGUAAAGAUAUCACAAGGGAUAAAGAAAGGAAUCAAGUUUGUCAAAAGAUGGAAAGUUGUGCAUUUACAAGGAAAGGUGAUCAUCAGAGCAGAAAAUGGGAAACAAAAAGUGUAUAUCCUACGGGAAAUGAAGUGCUAUUCAUUCAACAAGUAAAGACUAUUUGCGUUGACGAGCGAUGAUCCAAAAAUGAUGAAUUGGUGGGUUGAAAGUGAACAAACAAACCCUAUCAAAUGGUCUAAUAAUGGGCAAGAUUGGUGAUCAAAAAUCAUCAAACUGAAGAAACCACGAAUGGUCAGCGUAAAAGGAAAAGGAAACGGAAAAGUGUAUUUAGACUAAUGGAAUAAGGUAUCAGACUGAGGUAAAAGAAACAUAAUUAAAGGGUGUCUGUAUAACUAUGAACAGAGGUCUAAAUCCAUACAAAAUUUAAUUGGUUCGAGAUAAAUAAUGAAAAGAUAAGGAUAGCCACAUUCAACACCAAUUUUUGGUCAGAAUAAUUAGACAAUAUUUUAAUAUAACGACAAUAAGACAAUAAAAUAAUAUCUAUGGUGUUAUUCAUAUGGACCUCUGCUCAUAAUUAUACAGACACCCUUUAGUUGUUCAUAAAUCUCUUGAAAGAUCUUCCAUUUCUUCUUGUGAAAGUAUUGGUGGUUGCAGUUCAAGUGGAGAUGAUAGAUCACCAAAACGAAUCCAUAUGUUGAAAUUAUUUUCAAUGAAAGAGGUUCAAAAGGAUUUGGUUUUCUCACAUUUGCCCAUUCUGAUGAUGCCAUGAGAGCCAAAAAGGAGUUAGAUGGUAUUACAGUGGAAGGACGAAAAAUAGAAGUCAAUGACGCGACUGUUAAAGGUCAAGCAAAGAAACCAAAAGAAUAUUCAGCCA